rnacentral:rRNA from 1 species
GAAACGACUGCUAAGACUGGAUAGGAAAUAGAAGGAUAACCUUUUAUUUUUAAAAGACCUUCUUCGGAAGGUAUGCUUAAAGAAGGGCUUGCGCCACAUUAGUUAGUUGGUAGGGUAAAAGCCUACCAAGACUAUGAUGUGUAGCUGGACUGAGAGGUUGAACAGCCACAUUGGGACUGAGACACGGCCCAAACUCCUACGGGAGGCAGCAGUAGGGAAUUUUCGGCAAUGGAGGAAACUCUGACCGAGCAACGCCGCGUGAACGAAGAAGUAUUUAGGUAUGUAAAGUUCUUUUAUUGAAGAAGAAAAAAUAGUGGAAAAACUAUCUUGACGCUAUUCAAUGAAUAAGCCCCGGCUAACUAUGUGCCAGCAGCCGCGGUAAGACAUAGGGGGCGAGCGUUAUCCGGAAUUAUUGGGCGUAAAGGGUGCGUAGGCGGUUAGAUAAGUCUAUAAUUUAAUUUCAGUGCUUAACGCUGUUCUGUUAUAGAAACUGUCUAGCUAGAGUGAGAUAGAGGCAAGUGGAAUUCCAUGUGUAGCGGUAAAAUGUGUAAAUAUAUGGAGGAACACCAGAAGCGUAGGCGGCUUGCUGGGUCUUUACUGACGCUGAGGCACGAAAGCGUGGGUGGCAAACAGGAUUAGAUACCCUGGUAGUCCACGCCGUAAACGAUGAGUACUAAGUGUCGGGGUUAAACUCGGUACUGAAGUUAACACAUUAAGUACUCCGCCUGAGUAGUACGUACGCAAGUAUGAAACUUAAAGGAAUUGACGGGACUCCGCACAAGCGGUGGAUCAUGUUGUUUAAUUCGAAGAUACACGAAAAACCUUACCAGGUCUUGACAUACUCUGCAAAGCUAUAGAAAUAUAGUGGAGGUUAUCAGGGAUACAGGUGGUGCAUGGUUGUCGUCAGCUCGUGUCGUGAGAUGUUAGGUUAAGUCCUAAAACGAGCGCAACCCUUGUCGUUAAUUGCCAGCACGUUAUGGUGGGGACUUUAGCGAGACUGCCAAUUAAAAAUUGGAGGAAGGUGAGGAUUACGUCAAAUCAUCAUGCCCCUUAUGAUCUGGGCUACAAACGUGAUACAAUGGCUGUUACAAAGAGUAGCUGAAAUGCGAGUUUUUAGCCAAUCUCAAAAAAGCAGUCUCAGUUCGGAUUGAAGUCUGCAACUCGACUUCAUGAAGUUGGAAUCGCUAGUAAUCGCGAACCAGCAUGUCGCGGUGAAUACGUUCUCGGGGUUUGUACACACCGCCCGUCA